rnacentral:lncRNA from 10 species
AAGAAGGAAAAGAUAAAUGGAGAAAGGAUAGCACUAAGAGGAAGAAAGAAAAAGGUCACAAAUGAAGCAAUAUGGAGGUCAUUGGUGGCCUAGCUUUGCAACAGUUAAACUGAUUGACACUCCUUCUUAGAAAAUGUCUUCCUUCUUGAUAUUACAUAUAAGUAUCUUUCCUGGUUCUCAGUAAAAACCUGUUAACUUCUUUAUUCAUUUAUUCAAUACGUUGAAAAGUUAUCGAAGGUCAGGUUCUGUUUCCUGCUCCUCUGCUACAUCUACUGCUUAAAUGUCAUAGCCCUCAGUCUAUGUGCUUUUCUCAGUAUACACAUUUACCUUAGGAGGCUUCAUCUAAACCCACUGCUAAUGAUUCUCAAACUUGCUUCUCCAGGCAAGAUUUCAUUCUUACUUUUCUCAACUGUGUGCAGAAUGUCUUUAUGCUGGUGUUCAGAAGACACCAUAUACUGACUUGUCAUUAGUUGUAAAAAUAAAAGGUUUAAAAUAUUUAUUCUGAUCUACCCCUUUUAUGUUUUUGAAUUAUUUUAUGAAACCAAAUUCAAAUAAAACAGAAAGUUAUAAAACAGAAGUAAAAGUUCUCCUAGUCGGAGAAAAAAAGGUAGCAUCUCAUGAAGAGUGAGGAAUAAUAAAACAGAAAUUAGAAAAAUGUAAAAUCUUUUUGCAAUACUUUCACAAAAUAAAUGUUUAACUUUGGGGAACUUGCAUUUUUAAACUUGCAAAAUAGUGGCCAAAUGUGCAGAUGAGCAUGUACAAAUGUAUACGAUGUCUUUAAAUAUCUAUAUACUGCACAAUAGCUUAGUGAUCCAAUGGAUAAUAUCUUAACUGUUUUUAUGUUGAUAGAAGCUCAGAUGACUUUGUUGGUUUCUAUUGUUGUAUUAAUUAUUCUUGUAUACAUAAUUUU